rnacentral:rRNA from 1 species
AUAUUUGACAAUGGGGGAAACCUUGAUCCAGCCAUUCCGCGUGUGUGAAGAAGGUAAACAGAUAUUAAAAUAAUUUAAGUUGGAAGAAAGGGCUUAAGGACAAUACCCUGAAGAUUUGACGGAACCAACAGAAUAAGCACCGGCUAACUCCGUGCCAGCAGCCGCGGUAAUACAGUGGGUGCAAGUGUUAAGCGGAAUUACUGGGCGUAAAGCGCGCGUAGGUGGUUCAGUAAGAUGGGUGUGAAAUCCCCGGGCUUAACCUGGGAACUGCUUUCAUAACUGCUGAGCUAGAGUACGGUAGAGGGUAGUGGAAUUUCCUGUGUAGCGGUGAAAUGCGUAGAUAUAGGAAGGAACACCAGUGGCGAAGGCGACUACCUGGACUGAUACUGACACUGAGGUGCGAAAGCGUGGGGAGCAAAC